ensembl:ncRNA F52B10.13 ncRNA
GAGGUAUGGCGUGAUCAGUCAUUGAUAAUUUCAACUUGGCAUUUAUCAGUGUGUGGACAUUGUCCCCGCUGGUAUAUGUACGUAGGUCGCAAGUGCAU